rnacentral:rRNA from 1 species
ACUGGGACUGAGACACGGCCCAGAUUCCUACGGGAGGCAGCAGUAGGGAAUCUUCGGCAAUGGGGGGAACCCUGACCGAGCAACGCCGCGUGAGUGAAGAAGGUUUUCGGAUCGUAAAGCUCUGUUGUUAAGGAAGAACGUGUGUGAGAGUGGAAAGUUCACACAGUGACGGUACUUAACCAGAAAGGGACGGCUAACUACGUGCCAGCAGCCGCGGUAAUACGUAGGUCCCGAGCGUUGUCCGGAUUUAUUGGGCGUAAAGCGAGCGCAGGCGGUUAGAUAAGUCUGAAGUGAAAGGCAGUGGCUCAACCAUUGUAGGCUUUGGAAACUGUUUAACUUGAGUGCAGAAGGGGAGAGUGGAAUUCCAUGUGUAGCGGUGAAAUGCGUAGAUAUAUGGAGGAACACCGGUGGCGAAAGCGGCUCUCUGGUCUGUAACUGACGCUGAGGCUCGAAAGCGUGGGGAGCGAACAGGAUUAGAUACCCUGGUAGUCCACGCCGUAAACGAUGAGUGCUAGGUGUUAGGUCCUUUCCGGGACUUAGUGCCGCAGCUAACGCAUUAAGCACUCCGCCUGGGGAGUACGACCGCAAGGUUGAAACUCAAAGGAAUUGACGGGGGCCCGCACAAGCGGUGGAGCAUGUGGUUUAAUUCGAAGCAACGCGAAGAACCUUACCAGGUCUUGACAUCCCGAUGCCCGCUCUAGAGAUAGAGCUUUACUUCGGUACAUCGGUGACAGGUGGUGCAUGGUUGUCGUCAGCUCGUGUCGUGAGAUGUUGGGUUAAGUCCCGCAACGAGCGCAACCCUUAUUGUUAGUUGCCAUCAUUCAGUUGGGCACUCUAGCGAGACUGCCGGUAAUAAACCGGAGGAAGGUGGGGAUGACGUCAAAUCAUCAUGCCCCUUAUGACCUGGGCUACACACGUGCUACAAUGGCUGGUACAACGAGUCGCAAGCCGGUGACGGCAAGCUAAUCUCUGAAAGCCAGUCUCAGUUCGGAUUGUAGGCUGCAACUCGCCUACAUGAAGUCGGAAUCGCUAGUAAUCGCGGAUCAGCACGCCGCGGUGAAUACGUUCCCGGGCCUUGUACACACCGCCCGUCACACCACGAGAGUUUGUAACACCCGAAGUCGGUGAGGUAACCGUAAGGAGCCAGCCGCC